AUAAACGCUAGCGGCAGGCCUAACACAUGCAAGUCGCGGGGCAGCAUAACAAUUAGCAAUAAUCGUUGAUGGCGACCGGCGCACGGGUGCGUAACACGUAUGUAACCUGGCCUUUACAGGGGGAUAGUCAGAGGAAACUUUGAAUAAUACCCCAUAACACACCAUUAAGGCAUCUUAAAGGUGUUAAAGGAGCGAUCCGGUAAAGGAUGGACAUGCGACCGAUUAGACAGUUGGUGAGGUAACGGCUCACCAAAUCCACGAUCGGUAGGGGGUCUGAGAGGACUACCCCCCACACUGGUACUGAGAUACGGACCAGACUCCUACGGGAGGCAGCAGUGAGGAAUAUUGGGCAAUGGGCGGAAGCCUGACCCAGCCAUGCCGCGUGCAGGAAGACAGCCCUAUGGGUCGUAAACUGCUUUUUUAGAGGAAGAAUAAAGUCUACGUGUAGACCGAUGACGGUACUUUAAGAAAAAGCAUCGGCUAACUCCGUGCCAGCAGCCGCGGUAAUACGGAGGAUGCAAGCGUUAUCCGGAAUUAUUGGGUUUAAAGGGUCCGCAGGCGGCCCGUUAAGUCAGUAGUGAAAACCCGGGGCUCAACCCCGGACGUGCUACAGAUACUGGCGGGCUAGAGAAAGUCUGGAGGCAGCGGAAUGUGACAAGUAGCGGUGAAAUGCAUAGAUAUGUCACAGAACACCGAUAGCGAAAGCAGCUGCCUAAGACUUAUCUGACGCUCAGGGACGAAAGCGUGGGGAGCAAACAGGAUUAGAUACCCUGGUAGUCCACGCAGUAAACGAUGGAUACCAUCUUUUUGGCAAUUAUGCUGAGAGGACAAUCGAAAGAGAUAAGUAUCCCACCUGGGGAGUACGUGCGCAAGCAUGAAACUCAAAGGAAUUGACGGGGGCCCGCACAAGCGGUGGAGCAUGUGGUUUAAUUCGAAGCAACGCGAAGAACCUUACCAGGGCUUGACAUCCUACUAACGAGAUAGAGAUAUGUUAGGUGCCCUUCGGGGAAAGUAGAGACAGGUGGUGCAUGGUUGUCGUCAGCUCGUGUCGUGAGAUGUUGGGUUAAGUCCCGCAACGAGCGCAACCCCUGUUUCUAGUUGCCAGCACAUAAUGGUGGGAACUCUAGAAAGACUGCCGGUGAUAAAUCGGAGGAAGGUGGGGAUGACGUCAAAUCAUCACGGCCCUUACACCCUGGGCCACACACGUGCUACAAUGGCCGGUACAGAGAGCAGCCACCCCGCGAGGGGGAGCGAAUCUACAAAACCGGUCUCAGUUCGGAUCGCAGUCUGCAACUCGACUGCGUGAAGCUGGAAUCGCUAGUAAUCGCGCAUCAGCCAUGGCGCGGUGAAUACGUUCCCGGGCCUUGUACACACCGCCCGUCAAGCCAUGGAAGUCUGGGGGACCUGAAGACGGUAACCGCAAGGAGCCGUUAAGGGUAAAACAGGUAACUAGGGCU
rnacentral:rRNA from 1 species